AACGAACGUUAGCGGCGCGCUUAACACAUGCAAGUCGCACGAGAAAGGGCUUCGGCCCCGGUAAAGUGGCGCACGGGUGAGUAACACGUGGGUAAUCUUCCCUCGAGCGGGGAUAACAUUCCGAAAGGAGUGCUAAUACCGCAUAAGACCACGGCUUCGAAAGAAGCUGAGGUCAAAGCUGGCCUCUAUAUAUAAGCUAGCACUUGAGGAUGAGCCCGCGGCCCAUCAGGUAGUUGGUAGGGUAACGGCCUACCAAGCCUAAGACGGGUAGCUGGUCUGAGAGGAUGAUCAGCCACACUGGAACUGAGACACGGUCCAGACUCCUACGGGAGGCAGCAGUGGGGAAUCUUGCGCAAUGGGCGCAAGCCUGAUCCAGCAAUGCCGCGUGAGUGAAGAAGGCCUCGG
rnacentral:rRNA from 1 species